rnacentral:lncRNA from 1 species
UUUGAUAAAUAUUGAGUUUAUUGACAUUAUGAAUGUAUAACAUCUUAUAUUGUGUUAUAAAUAUCAUAUAUGAUAAUUGAUGACUUCUACAGGUAAAAAAUUUUGUGACAAAACUCAAGUUACUCAAUAAACAAAGUAGAUGUUAUCAAAAUUUACAUAGAAUUUAUUAAUUUAUUAAUUUUUAUAUUAUAUAAAAUAAUAAAAUAUAUAUUUAUGACGUCACCGGUUUGAUAGCGGUUCGACCAGCGGUCCGACCAGUAAAUCGUGAACCGGUAACUUUUCCGGUUCAAUGACCGGUCCGGUUUUUAAA